rnacentral:rRNA from 1 species
GUGCCAGCAGCCGCGGUAAUACAGAGGUCUCAAGCGUUGUUCGGAAUCACUGGGCGUAAAGGGUGCGUAGGCGGCGUGGAAAGUCAGAUGUGAAAUCCGGGGGCUCAACCUCCGAAUUGCAUCCGAUACUCCCAUGCUAGAGAACUGGAGGGGAGUCUGGAAUUCUCGGUGUAGCAGUGAAAUGCAUAGAUAUCGAGAGGAACACUAGUGGCGAAGGCGAGACUCUGGACAGUAUCUGACGCUCAUGCACGAAGGCCAGGGGAGCGAACGGGAUUAGAUACCCCGGUAGUCCUGGCAGUAAACGGUGCACGUUUGGUGUGGGGGGAUUCGACCCCUUCCGCGCCGGAGCUAACGCGUUAAACGUGCCGCCUGGGAAGUACGAUCGCAAGAUUAAAACUCAAAGAAAUUGACGGGGACCCGCACAAGCGGUGGAGUAUGUGGCUUAAUUCGAUGCAACGCGAAGAACCUUACCUGGGCUUGACAUGCUCUGUGUCGUCGGUGAAAGUCGGCUAGUGUAGCAAUACACGCUUUGCACAGGUGCUGCAUGGCUGUCGUCAGCUCGUGUCGUGAGAUGUUGGGUUAAGUCCCGCAACGAGCGCAACCCUUGUGAUUUGUUGCCACCGGAGUAAUCCGAGCACUCGAAUCAGACUGCCCAGAUCAACUGGGAGGAAGGUGGGGAUGACGUCAAGUCAGUAUGGCCCUUACGCCCAGGGCUGCACACGUACUACAAUGCCCAGUACAAUGUGAACCGAGACCGUGAGGUGGAGGAAAUCUCUUAAAACUGGGCUCAGUUCAGAUUGCAGGCUGCAACUCGCCUGCAUGAAGUUGGAAUCGCUAGUAAUGGCACAUCAGCUACGGUGCCGUGAAUACGUUCCCGGGUCUUGUACACACCGCCCGU